GUUAAAUAUUAAAUAUCUACUUUAUAUAUAUUUAUAUUUAUAUUUACAAAUUUGUUAAAAAUUAUAUCAAAUCGAGCAAAUGAUAACAUGGACAUACAAACAUUAAUGCAGAGAGCUUGAUUCCUUCGAAAAGUGAUAUCAAAUAAGGUCACUUGAAAAAAAAAAAAAAAAAAAAUUAAAAUUAAUUAAAUAUUUCCAAGUUAUGUUUCUUUUACUCUAUAUUUGCUGAAAGUGAAAGUUAACCAUUAUUAAAACUACGAAUGACUUGCGCAGUUAAAAAAACCAGAAAAGCUUUAAUAAUUUAGAAGUUAAAUACUUCAGUGAAGUUCUUAUUAGCCAUACGGGUAUGAAUGAAUAGAUCGUCGACAUUUUCAGCCUGAAUUAAUAAAUGAAUUCAGCAUAUCUUCAAAUUGAAUUCCAGAACGUUAUCCCUUACAAGCCACCGACAAUUGGUGAAGACAAACUGACAUGUUGGCCAUCUUGAUUUUUUUGAUCUUAAAUUGUUAACAACAGUCGGAGAAGCGGGCAGAUAGAAACGACUAAGGCUACCAUCUGUAACACACUUCAAUAGUCAUAGGCAUAGAAAGUUCGCUAAGAGAGCUGGUGGUGCCAACAAUUUUAUUAAAACAUUUUUCGAUUCAAUUUUUUUUUUUUUGCCUUCUGAAAAUUUCUAGAAAACAUAUGCGCUCCAACCUCAAACUGGUUUCAUUCAAUUGCCUUUUAUAAGUGGUGAACCCGAUUGCGAUUAUACCAUAAAAACGAAUAUCUCCGAACUUUCUAAUAUGCAUAUGCAAGACGUUGAUUACUAAAAGAAUAAAUUUGUCAAAUCCGCCUAUGGCACUCUAAGCCAUCGUGUUCGUAUUACAACCGAAACGAACGAUAAUUUCCUAUUCACACUAUUUUUUCUUUUAACUUAUUUUUUUUAGUAUUUUUUUUUUUUUUUUUUUUGUUUUGGUUUUAAGGUUGUCGCGAAAUACCACCUAAAGAUUAUGAGUUCAAGGAAGCUAAAGCUUAUACUAGACUUUUACAACCACAAAUUGCCGAUCAGAUGUUGUACAUGCAUGAGGAUCAAGUACAGAAACGGUCUAAGCGAAACUUGCAAACGACGAAUAUUAAGGCAAAAUUAGUGAUCGAAAGUUCGUUGAGUUACAUGCUGGUAAAUAUGAAAUAUUGAUCAAUAAAAGCGGAGUGCAUAGAGAAAAAUUAAAAUUCAAGCACCGAAAAGCCUCAAGUCUGCUUUGAUAGCUUGGUGGUCACUAACCAUAGCAUUUGUGACAUGAGUUUUUCUGAUGUGGCGCUCGCUAUUCGCCUCGGUGGCCAGUCGUUACAAACCAAAUGUUCCAGAAAAUUAGGCAACAAUUAAGGUAUAGGAUUGAUAACGUUACACGAGUGAUGAUAUUAAUGAAAUUUAGUUCCAAGUAUUUCGUUAAAAUAACACUUUGUUUGGUUAUUAAUUUAUUUAAUUAAUUAUGAUUCAUUUGAUUAAAUUAUGCAAAUCAUACAGAGUAGUAUAUAUUAUUUUAUUCCCAUACACAUUAGAGCAAAUUCCCAUAGAGAAAAAAUAAACG